GCACGUAGUUAGCCGGGGCUUUCUGGUCAGGAUACCGUCAAGGGUGGAGCAGUUACUCUCCAACUUGUUCUUCUCUGACAACAGAGUUUUACGAUCCGAAAACCUUCUUCACUCACGCGGCGUUGCUCCGUCAGACUUUCGUCCGAUUGCGGAAGAUUCCAUA
rnacentral:rRNA from 1 species